rnacentral:rRNA from 1 species
GAUGAACACUGGCGGCGUGCCUAAUACAUGCAAGUCGAACGCAUUGAGAGAAGUGCUUGCACUUUUCAAUUUGAGUGGCGAACGGGUGAGUAACACGUGGGCAACCUACCUGAUAGCGGGGGAUAACGAGUGGAAACAUUCGCUAAUACCGCAUAACAAUAGAGAUGGCAUCUUCUUUAUUUAAAAGGCGCUUUCAAGCGUCACUAUCAGAUGGGCCCGCGGUGCAUUAGUUAGUUGGUGGGGUGAAGGCCUACCAAGACGAUGAUGCAUAGCCGCGUUGAGAGACUGAUCGGCCCCAUUGGGACUGAGACACGGCCCAAACUCCUACGGGAGGCUGCAGUAGGGAAUCUUCCACAAUGGACGAAAGUCUGAUGGAGCAACGCCGCGUGUGUGAUGAAGGUUUUCGGGUCGUAAAGCACUGUUGUAUGGGAAGAAAUGCUAGGCUAGGAAAUGAGCUUAGUUUGACGGUACCAUACCAGAAAGGGACGGCUAAAUACGUGCCAGCCGCCGCCGUAA